rnacentral:tRNA from 1 species
GAGGGUAUAGCUCAAGGGGUAGAGCACAUGCUUAGCAUGCAUGAGGUGAUGGGUUCAAUCCCCAGAACCUCU